rnacentral:rRNA from 1 species
GAUGAACGCUAGCGAUAGGCUUAACACAUGCAAGUCGAGGGGCAGCAUGUGUCUUAGCUUGCUAAGACUGAUGGCGACCGGCGCACGGGUGCGUAACGCGUAUGCAACUUGCCUCACAGAGGGGGAUAACCUGUCGAAAGACGGACUAAUACCGCGUACACUCUAUGUUGGGCAUCCAAUGUAGAGGAAAUGAAAUUCGCUGUGAGAUAGGCAUGCGUCCCAUUAGCUAGUUGGUGAGGUAACGGCCCACCAAGGCGACGAUGGGUAGGGGAACUGAGAGGUUGAACCCCCACACUGGUACUGAGACACGGACCAGACUCCUACGGGAGGCAGCAGUGAGGAAUAUUGGUCAAUGGGCGAGAGCCUGAACCAGCCAAGUCGCGUGAAGGAUGACUGUCUUAUGGAUUGUAAACUUCUUUUAUACGGGAAUAACAAGAGCCACGUGUGGCUCCCUGCAUGUACCGUAUGAAUAAGCAUCGGCUAACUCCGUGC